rnacentral:rRNA from 1 species
CUACGUGCCAGCAGCCGCGGUAAUACGUAGGUCCCGAGCGUUGUCCGGAUUUAUUGGGCGUAAAGCGAGCGCAGGCGGUUAGAUAAGUCUGAAGUUAAAGGCUGUGGCUUAACCAUAGUACGCUUUGGAAACUGUUUAACUUGAGUGCAAGAGGGGAGAGUGGAAUUCCAUGCGUAGCGGUGAAAUGCGUAGAUAUAUGGAGGAACACCGGUGGCGAAAGCGGCUCUCUGGCUUGUAACUGACGCUGAGGCUCGAAAGCGUGGGGAGCAAACAGGAUUAGAUACCCUGGUAGUCCACGCCGUAAACGAUGAGUGCUAGGUGUUAGACCCUUUCCGGGGUUUAGUGCCGCAGCUAACGCAUUAAGC